rnacentral:rRNA from 1 species
UACGAAGGGGGCUAGCGUUGUUCGGAAUCACUGGGCGUAAAGCGCACGUAGGCGGAUCUUUAAGUCAGAGGUGAAAUCCCAAGGCUCAACCUUGGAACUGCCUUUGAUACUGGGGAUCUUGAGUCCGGGAGAGGUGAGUGGAACUGCGAGUGUAGAGGUGAAAUUCGUAGAUAUUCGCAAGAACACCAGUGGCGAAGGCGGCUCACUGGCCCGGUACUGACGCUGAGGUGCGAAAGCGUGGGGAGCAAAGCGGG